CAACUCUGAAGCUUGAUAUUAGACAAUACACAUACUUUUCAAAUGAACAUGACACAUUUGUGAACACUGAUUCUAUCUUAGGCUGUUAAACAAAUCGUGCUCAAAUGGAAAUUCAGAUUAAAAUUGUAGAGUUUAAUGAGAUUAAUGAUAAUUAAAACACAAUGUAUCAGAAUUUACAGCUAGAACAGUUGUCAGAGAAUAUUUUUAAGCUUUUAAAUACCUAUAUCAAUAAAAAUGAAAAAAAAUGAAUUAAACAUUCAAUUCAAAACACCAGAUUAAGAACCACAAUGUAAACUAAAAGAAUGCAGAUGGCAAGAAUAAUUAAAGCUAAAAGUAGAAAUGAAGAGGUUAGAAACCAAAACUGCAGUACAAUUUACACAUAAAGAUAAAGGUAGGUUUGUGAGGGGGCGGAUAACAAAAAUAUGAAGAAAUCACUGGGUAAAUGAAUCAAGAAUGCGAGAGAAAAGACAAAUACACAAAAUUUAAAGUGACAAGGGUGACACAGUCUCUAAAAGAAAAUAAAUUUUCAAGUCUCUUUAGUAAAAAUGUGCAGAAACGCAUUCAAAUACAUUUGAAAACAGACAAAAUGGAUAAAUUUCUACAAAAUUAUAUCUUACUCAAAUUGGCUCCAACAGAGACAAACAAUCUAAAUAGGCCAAUUACACAGAAGAAACAGUGAAUUAGGUUAAAUAAUUCUCCCAUGAAAAAUCACCAGGCUCAGAACUUUCCAGGGGAGAAUUCUAGCAAACCUCUAAAGGUAACAUAAUCCCAAUUUACUUAAACUAAGAGCAUAGAAAAUAUGUAAAAUAAUGAAGCAAGCAUAAAAUUGAUUUAAAAAAUAGCAAAAAUUGUACCAAAUAUGAAGUUACACAUUAAUAUCAUAUAAGAGUAUGGAGUGUUCUUAAAUAAAGUAUUAGCAAACACAAUUAACAGGACAUAAAAAAUAAAUCAUGACAUUACAGAGCUUAUUCCAAGAACACAAAUGUGUUUCAAUAUCAGGAAAUCUAUUACUAUAAUGUAGUGUAAUAACAGAGCCAAGGAAACAAUUAUGUGAUAACCUGCACGUCAGAAAGGUAUUUAACAGCAUCAAUGCCCAUUUGCAUUUAGAAAAACUCAAUAAAAUAG
rnacentral:lncRNA from 1 species